AUGAAUGGAUUAAAAUAUCACUUUAGGGUUGUUUAAGGUGACGAAUGAACACUAUAAAACACUGAAAAGAUCAAUAGAGUUGACCUAAUAGAUUUAGCUCUAAAUUACUUUUUUCCCCACAGAAAGUUGAAAUCACCAGUAAAAUGUACUUAAGUGUUUGGUGAGUUUUGGUGUCUGGUUGUGUCUCAACUGGAAGGAUGUUUGGAUUUUUCUUCUGCUUCUGUCCAAAGAUUUGGAGCUCCACAUGAGAAGUUCAGCUAAUUUCUUUUUGAAACUCCAGCCGGGAUGUCUUGAAGCCAACCACUCAGGACAGAAUAAAGGCGCCGUCACUGCAGUCAGCUGAGAGGAAUCCAGCCGUCAUUAACUGCAGCACUGUUGACUUUAGGGUAAAAAUAACCCAUGGGGGGGCGGGUCCAGAACGUCAUUAAAGUUUCCCAGCAGCUUCCGCCUUAGAGUGAAGAGGAACCACGGAUCACAGCUGCGCCACGUCUGUUUAAGCUUUUCCUCUCCAGAGCAACUUUCUGAGACUUUUGGGUUAAAUUUAGACCAAACAUGCAGCUGCAGAGGCCUCAUCUCCACAUCCAGAGAGAAAUGUGGAAGUGACGAUCCUAAGAGCUCCUCUAGAGGGCGCUGGGACCCCCACAGACAGGCUGAGCCGCUUCCACGUUUUCCAGGCCUGUAUAACCCUUGGGUUAAGGAAAGCACGCUGGAUGCUCCUCCCAUCUAUCCUCCGGUUUUGUGUCACACGAUUACACAAACUCCACGAAACAGUUUGGAUGUUUGGGAACGUCUCCGUCCUACACCAGCAAACACCGGAUAACAAAAACUUCCCAACUGAAUCUAAAUGGUCACACUUAGAUUCAGAUAACACCGGGACCCAAGACUUGGAAGUUCUCACUCCAAAGCACAUCCUGCUGCUCAGAGGAACAACCGUGGAAAGAACUGGAUGGGGCUGCAACUCCUCACACCAUCCUCGAACUGUGCCGUCUACUGUCCCUACUCUGAUUACUUCAUGUAAUCCGUUUGUUUGGAACCAUCAUUAAAAAUGGGAACGCUAACCGUCAUUGCCCCGCCCACAACUACAGGCGGACUAAAACCAGGACAGCUUGGUCACAGGAUCAGAAACUGAGAUCCUCAUGAAAUCCUUUUGGAAAACAUUUUGUUUCUAUUAUCUGCAGCAAAGAGCCUAAAAAUCACGUUGUCAUGGUGAUAAUUCAAUAGAAAAAAAAAAGUGCAGGAAAAUGUGGUGCUUUAAAAAUUUUAUUUAUAUUUUCAUGCAACGGCCACAAAAUUUAAACAUUUAUUGAAAAGCAAAGUUGUAACAAAGUCACGUGUUUUUGUUCUCCUUAAUAAAAAUUAAAAAAAAAAAACGCCUUUAACAAACGCCGUUAGUCUAAAAAUCUGAGUCCAGCAAAAGCUCAGCUUUACUGUAUAGAAGGAAGAUUUAUUUUAAACAAAUGAAACGAGAAAUUUAGCUAUUAAUCAAAAAAAA